rnacentral:rRNA from 1 species
GUCUACGGCCAUUCCACCCUGAACGUGCCCAAUCUCGUCUGAUCUCGGAAGCUAAGCAGGGUCGGGCCUGGUUAGUACUUGGAUGGGAGACUACCUAGGAAGACCAGGUGCUGUAGGUG